rnacentral:lncRNA from 1 species
UCAGCUUUUCAAAUGUAUCUUUUAUAUUUUAUAUAACAUUUAAUUUUGAUACAUGCCUGUGAAAUCAGUUCCUGAGACCAAUACAUCAAAACUGUAGUAAAUAUUGCAGGUCUCUUCUACCAAACAACUGUGAGGUAGAAGGAUGCUACAGGGUACAAAUGUUCUGAGUAUCUCUGACCUGCUUUUUCUGUGAUAUUUUUUCAGUUUUUCUUUUCUAGUUGUUCUGUCCUCAUUGUAUGAAGACUUUGCUUUUCCCUGGAACCAAAGUGACUCUCUGACUCUGCAACAUGCCUGGAGGAUAGAGUGCUCUAAAUCCUUUCUCUGUUUUGAACUAAACUGUACAGCAAAGCAACAAACUGAAAACAAACAGCCCUGGGAGCAGAGACUGAAACUGGCUUCUCUGACCUCUCAGGUGACUUUCCUGACUUGUAAACCAGAGAGAUGUCGUUAGCCCAAUUCAUCUUUGUUUCUCAUAGGCAAGGUGAAAUAACUUCUCCACAAGGGAUUAAGAUUUUGCAUCCUUUUUCAAACAGAUGAAAAAGUGCAACAUGACAGAAUGUAAAGAAAACA